rnacentral:rRNA from 1 species
GACGAACGCUGGCGGCGUGCUUAACACAUGCAAGUCGAACGGAAAGGCCCUGCUUUUGUGGGGUGCUCGAGUGGCGAACGGGUGAGUAACACGUGAGUAACCUGCCCUUGACUUUGGGAUAACUUCAGGAAACUGGGGCUAAUACCGGAUAGGAGCUCCUGCUGCAUGGUGGGGGUUGGAAAGUUUCGGCGGUUGGGGAUGGACUCGCGGCUUAUCAGCUUGUUGGUGGGGUAGUGGCUUACCAAGGCUUUGACGGGUAGCCGGCCUGAGAGGGUGACCGGCCACAUGGGGACUGAGAUACGGCCCAGACUCCUACGGGAGGAAGCAGGGGGGAAUAUUGCACAAGGGGCGGAAGCCGGAUGCAGCAAGGCCGCGUGCGGGAUGACGGCCUUCGGGUGGUAAACCGCUUUCGCCUGUGACGAAGCGUGAGUGACGGUAAUGGGUAAAGAAGCACCGGCUAACUACGUG